rnacentral:tRNA from 1 species
GCCUGCAUAGUUAAAUGGAUAUAAUAGCCCCCUCCUAAGGGGUAGUUGUGAGUUCGAUUCUCGCUGCGGGUGCCA